rnacentral:rRNA from 1 species
UACGGAGGGUGCAAGCGUUGUUCGGAUUUAUUGGGCGUAAAGCGCGUGUAGGCGGUCUCUUAAGUCUGAUGUGAAAGCCCUGGGCUCAACCCAGGAAGUGCAUUGGAUACUGGGAGACUUGAAUACGGGAGAGGGUAGUGGAAUUCCUAGUGUAGGAGUGAAAUCCGUAGAUAUUAGGAGGAACACCGGUGGCGAAGGCGGCUACCUGGACCGAUAUUGACGCUGAGACGCGAAAGCGUGGGGAGCAAACAGGAUUAGAAACCCCCGUAGUCC